AAUGAACGUUGGCGGCGUGGAUUAGGCAUGCAAGUCGAGCGAGAACCCGCAAGGGGGACAGCGGCAAACGGGGUAGUAAUGUGUCGGAACGUGCCCUCUGGACGGGAUAGCGGCGGGAAACUGCCGGUAAUACCCGAUGAACUCGAGAGAGCAAAGGUGUGAUUCCGCCGGAGGAGCGGCCGACAUGGUAUUAGCUAGUUGGCGGGGUAACGGCCCACCAAGGCUGUGAUGCCUAGGGGAUAUGAGAGCAUGAUCCCCACCAUUGGGACUGAGACACUGCCCAGACACCUACGGGUGGCUGCAGUCGAGAAUCUUCGUCAAUGGGCGAAAGCCUGAACGAGCGACGCCGCGUGCGGGAUGAAGGCCCUUGGGUUGUAAACCGCUGUCGAGGGGGAUGAAGGCUUGAAGGUACUCCUUCAAGUUUGACAGAGCCCAGAAGGAAGCACGGGCUAAGUUCGUGCCAGCAGCCGCGGUAAU
rnacentral:rRNA from 1 species